rnacentral:rRNA from 1 species
AACGAACGUUGGCGGCGUGGAUUAGGCAUGCAAGUCGAACGUGAAAGGGGAGCUUGCUCCCUGAGUAAAGUGGCGAACGGGUGAGUAACGCGUGGGAAACUUGCCUCAGAGCGGGGAAUAACACUCCUAACGGGGUGCUAAUACCGCAUGAUACCGCUGGUGGACAUCCACCGGCGGUCAAAGAUGGGGACCGCAAGGCCUGUCACUCUGAGAUGGUCCCGCGUCCGAUUAGCUUGUUGGAGGGGUAACGGCCCACCAAGGCGACGAUCGGUAGCGGGUUUGAGAGGAUGAGCCGCCACACUGGGACUGAGACACGGCCCAGACUCCUACGGGAGGCAGCAGUGGGGAAUGUUGGACAAUGGGGGGAACCCUGAUCCAGCCAUGCCGCGUGUGUGAAGAAGGCCUUAUGGUUGUAAAGCACUUUAAGCGAGGAGGAGGCUACUCUAGUUAAUACCUAGGGAUAGUGGACGUUACUCGCAGAAUAAGCACCGGCUAACUCUGUGCCAGCCGCCGCAGUAAAAC